UUUAUGGAGAGUUUGAUCCUGGCUCAGGAUGAACGCUGGCGGCGUGCCUAAUACAUGCAAGUCGAGCGAACGGACGAGAAGCUUGCUUCUCUGAUGUUAGCGGCGGACGGGUGAGUAACACGUGGAUAACCUACCUAUAAGACUGGGAUAACUUCGGGAAACCGGAGCUAAUACCGGAUAAUAUUUUGAACCGCAUG
rnacentral:rRNA from 1 species